rnacentral:rRNA from 1 species
GGGAGGGUUAAACCUUCCCGUUGCCGGCAGGCCAACGCAGUAAAGUAACCCCGCCCUGGGGAGUACGGCCCGCAAGGUUGAAACUCAAAGGGAAUUGACGGGGGCCCCGCACAAGCGGUGGUGCAUGUGGUUUAAUUCGACGCAACGCGAAGAACCUUACCUGGGCUUGACAUGCCGCGAGUAGGAAACCGAAAGGGGACCGACCGGUUCAGUCCGGAAGCGGAACAGGUGCUGCAUGGCUGUCGUCAGCUCGUGCCGUGAGGUGUUGGGUUCAGUCCCGCAACGAGCGCAACCCUCGCCCUCUGUUGCCACCGGGUCAUGCCGGGCACUCUGAGGGGACUGCCAGCGACAAGUUGGAGGAAGGAGAGGAUGACGUCAAGUCAUCAUGGCCCUUAUGCCCAGGGCCACACACGUGCAACAAUGGCCGGUACAGACGGAAGCAAGACCGAGAGGUGGAGCAAAUCCGAGAAAGCCGGUCCCAGUUCGGAUUGAGGUCUGCAACUCGACCUCAUGAAGUCGGAAUCGCUAGUAAUCGCGUAUCAGCACGACGCGGUGAAUACGUUCCCGGGCCUUGUACACACCGCCCGUCACACCACGAAAGUCUGUUGUACCUGAAGUCGGUGCCCCAACCGGAAACGGAGGGAGCCGCCCAAGGUAUGGCCGGUAAUUGGGGUGAAGUCGUAACAAGGUAACCGUA